GACUUUGAUAAACAAAUAUUAAACAGUAUUGAAAGAGAUGUUAUAGAAAAUUAUUUUCUGGUUAUAUUCCUUUAAGUCCUUCUUGCACUUUUUUUUUUAGUAUAAAGGAGCAUUGGGUUAUUCAACUUUUUACGUGUUUAUAUGGACUUGGAAAGAUAGUAUAUCUAUAUGGGCAUAAGAAGAGCAAGGUUGUCAUUUUUUUAUUAUGAUACAAAAAUGACCAGGAAAAUGCCGUUCUGACUAUAGAUAGGCAGGAGGAACAAGCAACAAGCCUGAGGCCACCAUUUCUAGAGGCAUCAUGAUGAGGAAUAGCAUUGGCUGAGGGUGGGGAGCAGGCAGCUCAGCGUAGGCCAGGGUGAGUGGGCACCAGGAGCAAAAUGCAGAUGAGGUGGAAUGAGGAAUUGAAAUGCAGAUGAAGUUGAGUUCAAGAAAAAUCACGUUUCUUAUGCAGCUGAUGGAAAGAUUCAUACAUUCUUGUGAUGCUGGUCAGUGGGGAGGUAGGCGUUGCGGGAGGCUGUGUGGUUCUGCAGUACUGCUCCUAAGCAAACUCCACGUUGCUGCCCUGGGGAGGACAAAAGGCUGAUUCGCUGAAAGAAUCAUUAACAGAGAUGGCGGAAGGAGGUUACAUGUUAUUCAAGAUGGGAUUGUGAAGUGAAGGAGGAAAAAACAUACCCCAGAGAUCCUGGACUGAGAGCUGGAUACAGUAAGGAUUGCGACAUAACUUUGAAGUCGAACACAUUUGGGAGCACAUCUGCGUUUGUACAGCAAGAGGCAAUAGGGAAGUGUUAAAACCAAGAUAAAAUAGAAUGAAAAAAUAAGCCCACAAAUAUGUGCAUACUAAAUAAGAAGCUGGUAACUUCAUUCACAGAUCUGCACUGACUUGAACUGAGAACUACCAACUGGUGUAUUCUUCAGCCCCAUGAACCAAGACAGCCCUUGAUAUUUAUUAAUCUUUUACUGAUGCAUGAUUAAAGGAAUGCUUUUCUCCUCUCCAAGUUUCAGCGAUCGUCUCCAGGGGCUAUAUGAUGCUGUGUAUUUUGCAUUGCCCACUGAGAAAAUGUUUAAUGGAAUAGAAUGAUACUGCUGAGAAGAGGAGAGCUCAGUGGUCCUCACCACAGGAUGUUCCUCUGCAAAGCAGAAUAGCAAGUUGAGCAUCAUGGAUAAGAUUUUCUUUCAGAGCAGAAGGGACUUAAACUCUUAAACUCACAGGGAGAGCGCCACUCGUCAAAUACUCUCAAGAUUUUCAGCCACUGUGCCAAAAGGACCAUAAAUUAUGCCCUCAUUGAAUAAUGUUUUAAGUGUGGUACUUCUUAAAGAACAUAUUUAUUAACCAGGCAAAAAUUUUAUUACAUGGCCACAACAUGCUAUGCUGUUUUCAUCAAGUGCCUAUGUAAGGGUAUUUGUAGAAGGUUGUCUCCAGGAAACCACUAACAGUUAUUUCCAAAGAACUCAGUCUCCUUGGCUUCAUAGACUAAUUUUCAGGAACUUUGGAGCAUAAAACACAUUUUGGAACUAGAGUUCUACAUGUCAGAAGGUCUGAAAAGCCAAGAGAUUAGUAUAAAUAGCUUUGUUAUUCACACACUGAAUAUAACAUUUAGAUAUAAUAUAUUCUGUAGCCAAAGUACUCUAGUUUCUCCCAAUAAUUUGAAACAAGAAGUUAAGAACACAAAAUGCACCUAGAGGGAAAGAAGAAUGAUACUUUAUUGCUGCUGAAUUCAUGAAUCUAUUAGGGAAACUCAUUUUAAUCUUUAGGUUUAAUAUGUCCCUUUUAUCAAGACUGAGACUUUUCUUUGUGUCUACAGUAGAAAAAUGACGCCAAUUUAGUCCUGUACUUUGCCAACCCCUGAUUGUCACAUUUUUCGAAUUAUCACAGUUGUCCAUCAAUUGUGUCAAGACAGAAUAGAAAAUUGGGUUGUGGGUUGGAUCCUGUUAAGGAUAUAUACAGAUUUCUAUAAAACAUUCAUAAGGAUAUUGCUCUCGUUUUUCUUUCUGUAGGAUGAUGAACAUUUUUUUGUUUUGUUUUAUUUUCUGGAUGUUUAACUUUUAGUUAGAAUAAUAUAAACAAUUUUCUAGUCACAAAGACCUUUUAGAACAGCCUUACUUUCAGAGCUUUCAUAAUUCUGGAAUGAGGCGCUAUUCCACCCACAGUUUAGUUUGUAUUCCUUGAGCUGAGUUAAUUAUCUGAGGUCACAGGAUGCUAUUGGUGGUUUUGCAUGUACAAAUGGAUAUUCUCAAUUCUGCCCAGAGUAAUGGAUCAAAAUAGGCAGUUAAUUCAAGGUUUUAAAAAUUAAUAUAAUCUGCAAUUUUAAUGGUGCAAGGAAAAUUAAAGGUCUCUUAGUUCAACACAUUUAUCUUGUAGAUGAGCCAGCAAAGGCCCAGAGAGCCUUUAGAAUUUGCCAAGGGUCACAUAGCCAGUUAAUGGCAGAGCUGGUAUCAGAAAAAGGUCUUUUAUCUCAUAAUUCAAAGCUCUUUCUUCGAAUUAUGAAAUGUUAAGGCAUAGUGAAAAGUCCAGAAAAUAACAUGACUAACAUUUGUGUAUCUACCACCCAGCUUUAUCAAAUCUUACCAUUUUUUAUGUAUGCUUCUUUAAUUUUUUAAAGAAAUAAAACAGAUUCAAUAAAGCCCCUUGUAUAAUUUUUUACUAAUAAGACGUCUCAUACUGCCUUCCAAAUUUGCCAUUGUUAUGUGAAGAUGCAUAAAUAGUAUCUAUAUGUACAAUAUUUGUUAUCGUUUUAUGUAGUUUAGAACAGUAUAUAAGUAAAAUCGUAUUUUAUGUAUUCUUCUGAAAUUUGCUUUUUAUCGCUCACUAUUGUUUUUGAGAUUUUUUAAUCCUCAAGUACAUAGCUAUGGUUCAUUCAAUUUUACUGUUUUCCAUAUUGUGAACCUAUUACAAUGUAUUUAUCCAUUUUCCUCUUGAUGAAUAUUUAGAUUUUUUUAAAAGUUGCUAUUACAAAUAAUGCUGUAAUAAACAUUCUUGUAUAUGUGUCCUUGUGCACAAGUGCAAGAACUUGUUGGCUACAUGCUUGGAAAUUGUAAUACUUCAAUGGUAUGUAUUAUUGUCAAAUUACUCUCCAAAGUGUGGUACAGCAGUGUUAUAUGAUGCCAAUUUGAUGGAUAGGAAAUGGUUCAUCACUGUGGCUUCAUCUGUAUUUCCCUUAUUAAUAAUAAAAUUGAUUAUCUUUUUGUAUGUUUAUCAGUUAGCCAUUGCUUCAAUAAUAUUGGGUGACCAACCACCACAAAACUUAGAGGCAAUCAUUUAUUUUCAUGGGUCUGCAGGCCAACUGGUGUGGCUCCACUUCAGGAUGCAGGUCUGGGAAUCCACAUCUGUUCCAUGUGUCUCUUAUCCUCCUUGGGCCAGUGGACCAGCUAGUGAUCCUCUUCUUGCAGCAAAAGCAGGAGCACAAGAGUGCAAGCCCCAUUCCUCAAUGACAUUUCAAGUCCUUGCUUGUGACACUUCUGCUCAUGUCCUAUUGACCAAAGGAAGGCAUUUUGCUGAGUCCGACAUCCAUAAAGUGGAGAAAUGCUCCACCCCUGUGAGACCAUGGCAUAGCCAUGAAGGCAUAUAACUACUACAGGGGAGGGAAGAAUUGUCACCAGUAAUUUCAUCUACCACAACACAUUUAUUGGUUAUGAAUUGCUGUGAAUUUCUGGUUCAUAGUCUUUGCUCAUGUUGUCUUGAGUUGCUUGUAUUUUGCUUAUUGUUUUGUAGAUAUUCUUUACAUAAUGUGGAUUCUGAUUUUUAUCUAUUAUAAGAUUAUGAAAAAUCUUAUUUUAGUACAUGGCUUAUCUUUUCACUUUGUUUAUGAUAUUUGUCUUGUAAAGUUUAAAAUUUGACUGCAGUCUAAAUAGUUAUCAGUUUUUUCUUUUACAGUUUGCACUCAUUGUGUUGUUUUAGAAAAUUAUCUGCAUCCUGAGGUCAUUAAUAUACCCUCCAAUGUUAUCUUCUAAGAGUAGUAAAGUUUCAUUUUUCCAUGUAGGUUCAUGAUUUGCUCAGAACUUUUAAGUUUUUUCUAUUUUUUUCUGUAAAUUCUCUUAUAUAUUCUACAUAAAUAAUCAUAUCAUUUAUGAGUAAUAAAAUUUGGUCUUUUUGUUUCCAAUUCUUAAAUCUUUUUUUCUUUUUCUUAUGACACUAAUCCAGAAAAAUGUGGACCAGGAGUUGCACAGCAAGUAUCCCACCCACUCCUUGAUUUUAAUGGAAAUAUUUCCAAUGUUUUACUACUGCAGGAGAUUGAUCACAAAGAAAGUAAUCAGAAAAUAAAUGAUAAGCUAAAAUUCCAUAUACCACUAAAAUAUUAUUAUAGAACAUAGGCAAAAU
ensembl:lncRNA